UUCUAGAGAAGUAAAAUACAUUUUAGUAAUUCACAGACACAUUGGUACUACUCUGAGCACGACUAAUAAAUUAUAUCCAAGAGAAAAUUGUGUUUCUCCAACGAUGAGUUAGAAGAAAAUGAACGGACAAAUAAAGAAUUUGGUAUUGCCAACCGCAGGAAGGGGACCGUAGAUAUAUACUCCCUGUAUUGUGAUGAUUACCUAACUUAACCACAAUAACAUAAUAUUAUAUUAUCGUUCACCGACUUUUAAAAUCAUUCAAUUAGAUUUCCAAAAACCGAUUAUAGAAGGAAAUAAUGGCGGUAAUCAUUUUACAAUCAGUGAUUAUAAACAAGGUUCAGUAAUUAGUAGAUAUUAUGGUUAGAGGCUGUCACAAAAUAUAAUCCAAACCACUUGUCUGGGAUAUAGAAGUAAAAUAAAAAAUAUAAAAUAAAUUUUAAUAAUUUACAGCAACCCUGGUAGUACUGCUCUGGGCACGACUAGUAAAUCUUAUCUAAGAAAAUAUUGUGUUUUUCCAACGAUGAAUGAGAAGAAAAUGAACAGACGAAUAAAGGAGGAUAUGGAGACCUUACAAUUGAUGAUUUUAAUUCACCCAGAAAAGCCUUAGAUACUUAAUAAUGUCUAAUUCACACACACUUAUGUUUACUGGUCGUCAAACCCGUUCCUAUUCAUGGAAUUUACUUCUCAACAAGAAAAGACAAACUUCUAUGAAAGAAGGCUAAGCGAAUACCAAUUACAUUCAAUUGCACUCUGAAUCAUCUUUUUGAAUAAAACUAUUUGUCUAAGACAUAUUUAUAAUUUUAAGAAAACUUUAUUUUUAAAUUUUAUAGUUGGAGAAAAAGUAUUUAAAAUCUUUAUUAGUUAUACUACCAUAGUUUUCAUACUUGUCGUAUUUAUAGUUUAAUUGUAAUUUAAAAUUUAGAAAUAUAUGACUAAUGUGUUGUAAUUUAUUGUUAUACUUGUAGUAGU